AGUAAAUUGGUUAAGUUAGAAAGGGCGCACGGUGGAUGCCUUGGCACUAGGAGCCGAAGAAGGACGGGACUAACACCGAUAUGCUUUGGGGAGCUGUACGUAAGCGUUGAUCCAGAGAUUUCCGAAUGGGGGAACCCACUAUCUUUAGUCGGAUAGUAUCCUUACGUGAAUACAUAGCGUGAGG
rnacentral:rRNA from 1 species